GAUGAAGAACGUAGCGAAAUGCGAUAAGUAAUGUGAAUUGCAGAAUUCAGUGAAUCAUCGAAUCUUUGAACGCACAUUGCGCCCCCUGGUAUUCCGGGGGGCAUGCCUGUUCGAGCGUCAUUACAACCCUCAAGCCUCGCUUGGUGUUGGGCGUUGCCUCGCGAGAGGCACGCCCCAAAGCCCUCGGCGGCCUCGUCUCCGCUCCAAGCGUCGUGAAACGUCUACAAGCGUCUCGCUUUGGAAGCCGGGUCGGCGCCCGCCGCGCAACGAAACAACCUUCACCAGUUUGACCUCGGAUCAGGUAGGGAUACCCGCUGAACUUAAGCAUAUCAAUAAGCGGAGGA
rnacentral:misc_RNA from 1 species